CGUCGGCAUCUAGGCGGACCACCAGGGUAUGCACGAAGGGGCAGAAAGUCACACAUAGGCAGUCACACUGUCAGGGUGGCGGUACGGUGCCAGGGACCCAGACACUGCCUGGGCGGCGGUGCGAGGACUGGGACCCAGUAUGCCUGAUGUUCAGAGUAGGAGUCACAGUGUGGAGGUGGAUUAGCAGGGUCUGGUGCAGGGUAACCCCACGCCCACUGGUGUUGAGC